AUGAUAGCUCAGGACUGCGAUCUAGUUGAAUUGUCUGUUUUUAUCCAAAACCCCUCCACUGAAGAGAUUUGGAUCAACAAGACCGCUACUGUGGUGUGCAUGGUAAUGGGCGCUGAUCUGAGCCAGGUCCAAAUCUACUGGCAAGUGAGCGGAAGGGAGAGAACAACAGGGGCUGUGACCCGCCAACCGAGAGGGGAAAGUACCCAAGACAGAGUGAGCAGUAAACUCCGGAGCAGUGUGGAGGAGUGGACCAGCGGGGUGGAGGUUGUGUGCUCUGCCCAACGAUCUCCAUCAUCCUCACCAGUGUCAGCACGGACAGAAAGUGCCAAAGUUGAAACAAAAAGACCUAAGGUCAGACUGCUGCCUCCAGCUCACCAAGAGACCAAGCGUAGCAACACAGCCACCCUCGAGUGUGUGCUCUCUGGUUUCUACCCGGACCUCAUAAACGUCACUUGGGCGAAAGACGGAGCCCCGAUCUCCUCCACCACCAGCACUACACCGACUGCUCUGGAGCAGGGGGGGACUUUCAGUGCCAGCCACUUCCUGACUGUGAGUCCAGAGGAUUGGAAGAAAGGCUCAGUCUUCGGCUGUACAGUGUCUCAUCCCCCCUCGAACACCAGUAUCAGCCGGGAAGUGAAAAGCUUUCAAGCCGGCACAGAAUUGACAGGUGAGGAAGGGAAGGAGGAGCCGGGGGACUUGGAUGGAGAUGACAAUGUGCUCACAGUUGCUGCCUUCGCCAUCCUGUUCAUUAUCAGUUUCCUCUACAGUACCUUCGUCACUGUUGUCAAGGUAACGAUGACCAACGACAGAGAUACUUUGUGACCCCCACACUGUGACCAUCCAUUCCUCACUACACUGUGUUCUCUGACUCUUCAAUCCUCACCACACUACGACCCACAGAUGAUGCAGU